GCCCCAGUGCGGUUUCGGUUGUGCUUCGGAGCAGUCGCGUAGUCACCCGUGUCCAGCGCCUGCUUUGUGCGGCGUCUUUGUUCCGAAAUCGGUCUUCUUCUUCUUCGGACCCCUAACGUCGCCUCACGGUUCCUGCCUUCGUCAAAGGGCCUCCUUUCGUUCGACACAUUGGGGAGAGCGAGUUGCACGGCUGGCCCUCCGUUUCAAGAGACCUCCUGACCCGAGUCUUCUUCAGCUGCGGAUGGCCUCUGGAAUGCAGACAUGGAUCGUGCCACUGAGAACUUGCUCCGAGCAAAAAGUGUUUUUAUGAAAUCGUGUUAGCUCGUGCGAAUUCACUGAAUAGGAACGAGUGUGUUUUCAUCGAGACAGCUCUCGUCUGCAAACUUGCAUUGUCGGCCUAUUAAAGUCUGAGGUUAAUAAAAUCUGAGGUGAAACGGA